rnacentral:rRNA from 1 species
GACGUAGGGGGCGAGCGUUGUCCGGAUUUAUUGGGCGUAAAGCGUGCGUAGGCGGCUGCGCAAGUCGGUUGUGAAACCCCGGGGCUCAACCCCGGAACUGCAUCCGAUACUGCGUGGCUAGAGGUAGGUAGGGGAGAUCGGAAUUCCUGGUGUAGCGGUGAAAUGCGCAGAUAUCAGGAGGAACGCCGGUGGCGAAGGCGGAUCUCUGGGCCUUACCUGACGCUGAGGCACGAAAGCUAGGGGAGCGAACAGG